UACAGAGGGGGCAAGCGUUAUUCGGAAUUACUGGGCGUAAAGAGCUCGUAGGUGGUUUGUCGCGUUGUUCGUGAAAACUCACAGCUUAACUGUGGGCGUGCGGGCGAUACGGGCAGACUGGAGUACUGCAGGGGAGACUGGAAUUCCUGGUGUAGCGGUGGAAUGCGCAGAUAUCAGGAGGAACACCGGUGGCGAAGGCGGGUCUCUGGGCAGUAACUGACGCUGAGGAGCGAAAGCGUGGGGAGCGAACAGG
rnacentral:rRNA from 1 species